AAGUCGUAACAAGGUUUCCGUAGGUGAACCUGCGGAAGGAUCAUUAAAAAAUUGAGGUAUUCAUACCUCUUUGUAUUUAAAACCUUACUCUAUAAAACCUAAAAUUUAUAUAAAAUAAAUGAAAAACUUUCAACAAUGGAUCUCUUGGCUCUC
rnacentral:misc_RNA from 1 species